rnacentral:rRNA from 1 species
GUGUCAGCAGCCGCGGUAAUACGGGGGGUGCGAGCGUUGUCCGGAAUCACUGGGCGUAAAGGGCGCGUAGGUGGCGUGAUAAGGGUGUGGUGAAAGCCCGGGGCUCAACCCCGGGUCUGCCAUGCCGACUGUCAGGCUAGAGUACUGUAGGGGCAGGCGGAAUUCCGGGUGUAGCGGUGGAAUGCGUAGAGAUCCGGAGGAAGACCGGUGGCGAAGGCGGCCUGCUGGGCAGUUACUGACACUGAGGCGCGACAGCGUGGGGAGCAAACAGGAUUAGAAACCCUUGUAGUCC